rnacentral:rRNA from 13 species
UUAAGUUAUUAAGGGCGCACGGUGGAUGCCUUGGCACUAGAAGCCGAUGAAGGACGUUACUAACGACGAUAUGCUUUGGGGAGCUGUAAGUAAGCUUUGAUCCAGAGAUUUCCGAAUGGGGAAACCCAGCAUGAGUUAUGUCAUGUUAUCGAUAUGUGAAUACAUAGCAUAUCAGAAGGCACACCCGGAGAACUGAAACAUCUUAGUACCCGGAGGAAGAGAAAGAAAAUUCGAUUCCCUUAGUAGCGGCGAGCGAAACGGGAAGAGCCCAAACCAACAAGCUUGCUUGUUGGGGUUGUAGGACACUCUAUACGGAGUUACAAAGGACGACAUUAGACGAAUCAUCUGGAAAGAUGAAUCAAAGAAGGUAAUAAUCCUGUAGUCGAAAAUGUUGUCUCUCUUGAGUGGAUCCUGAGUACGACGGAGCACGUGAAAUUCCGUCGGAAUCUGGGAGGACCAUCUCCUAAGGCUAAAUACUCUCUAGUGACCGAUAGUGAACCAGUACCGUGAGGGAAAGGUGAAAAGCACCCCGGAAGGGGAGUGAAAUAGAACCUGAAACCGUGUGCUUACAAGUAGUCAGAGCCCGUUAAUGGGUGAUGGCGUGCCUUUUGUAGAAUGAACCGGCGAGUUACGAUUUGAUGCAAGGUUAAGCAGUAAAUGUGGAGCCGUAGCGAAAGCGAGUCUGAAUAGGGCGUUUAGUAUUUGGUCGUAGACCCGAAACCAGGUGAUCUACCCUUGGUCAGGUUGAAGUUCAGGUAACACUGAAUGGAGGACCGAACCGACUUACGUUGAAAAGUGAGCGGAUGAACUGAGGGUAGCGGAGAAAUUCCAAUCGAACCUGGAGAUAGCUGGUUCUCUCCGAAAUAGCUUUAGGGCUAGCCUCAAGUGAUGAUUAUUGGAGGUAGAGCACUGUUUGGACGAGGGGCCCCUCUCGGGUUACCGAAUUCAGACAAACUCCGAAUGCCAAUUAAUUUAACUUGGGAGUCAGAACAUGGGUGAUAAGGUCCGUGUUCGAAAGGGAAACAGCCCAGACCACCAGCUAAGGUCCCAAAAUAUAUGUUAAGUGGAAAAGGAUGUGGCGUUGCCCAGACAACUAGGAUGUUGGCUUAGAAGCAGCCAUCAUUUAAAGAGUGCGUAAUAGCUCACUAGUCGAGUGACACUGCGCCGAAAAUGUACCGGGGCUAAACAUAUUACCGAAGCUGUGGAUUGUCCUUUGGACAAUGGUAGGAGAGCGUUCUAAGGGCGUUGAAGCAUGAUCGUAAGGACAUGUGGAGCGCUUAGAAGUGAGAAUGCCGGUGUGAGUAGCGAAAGACGGGUGAGAAUCCCGUCCACCGAUUGACUAAGGUUUCCAGAGGAAGGCUGGUCCGCUCUGGGUUAGUCGGGUCCUAAGCUGAGGCCGACAGGCGUAGGCGAUGGAUAACAGGUUGAUAUUCCUGUACCACCUAUAAUCGUUUUAAUCGAUGGGGGGACGCAGUAGGAUAGGCGAAGCGUGCGAUUGGAUUGCACGUCUAAGCAGUAAGGCUGAGUAUUAGGCAAAUCCGGUACUCGUUAAGGCUGAGCUGUGAUGGGGAGAAGACAUUGAGUCUUCGAGUCGUUGAUUUCACACUGCCGAGAAAAGCCUCUAGAUAGAAAAUAGGUGCCCGUACCGCAAACCGACACAGGUAGUCAAGAUGAGAAUUCUAAGGUGAGCGAGCGAACUCUCGUUAAGGAACUCGGCAAAAUGACCCCGUAACUUCGGGAGAAGGGGUGCUCUUUAGGGUUAACGCCCAGAAGAGCCGCAGUGAAUAGGCCCAAGCGACUGUUUAUCAAAAACACAGGUCUCUGCUAAACCGUAAGGUGAUGUAUAGGGGCUGACGCCUGCCCGGUGCUGGAAGGUUAAGAGGAGUGGUUAGCUUCUGCGAAGCUACGAAUCGAAGCCCCAGUAAACGGCGGCCGUAACUAUAACGGUCCUAAGGUAGCGAAAUUCCUUGUCGGGUAAGUUCCGACCCGCACGAAAGGCGUAACGAUUUGGGCACUGUCUCAACGAGAGACUCGGUGAAAUCAUAGUACCUGUGAAGAUGCAGGUUACCCGCGACAGGACGGAAAGACCCCGUGGAGCUUUACUGUAGCCUGAUAUUGAAAUUCGGCACAGCUUGUACAGGAUAGGUAGGAGCCUUUGAAACGUGAGCGCUAGCUUACGUGGAGGCGCUGGUGGGAUACUACCCUAGCUGUGUUGGCUUUCUAACCCGCACCACUUAUCGUGGUGGGAGACAGUGUCAAGCGGGCAGUUUGACUGGGGCGGUCGCCUCCUAAAAGGUAACGGAGGCGCUCAAAGGUUCCCUCAGAAUGGUUGGAAAUCAUUCAUAGAGUGUAAAGGCAUAAGGGAGCUUGACUGCGAGACCUACAAGUCGAGCAGGGUCGAAAGACGGACUUAGUGAUCCGGUGGUUCCGCAUGGAAGGGCCAUCGCUCAACGGAUAAAAGCUACCCCGGGGAUAACAGGCUUAUCUCCCCCAAGAGUUCACAUCGACGGGGAGGUUUGGCACCUCGAUGUCGGCUCAUCGCAUCCUGGGGCUGUAGUCGGUCCCAAGGGUUGGGCUGUUCGCCCAUUAAAGCGGUACGCGAGCUGGGUUCAGAACGUCGUGAGACAGUUCGGUCCCUAUCCGUCGUGGGCGUAGGAAAUUUGAGAGGAGCUGUCCUUAGUACGAGAGGACCGGGAUGGACAUACCUCUGGUGUACCAGUUGUCGUGCCAACGGCAUAGCUGGGUAGCUAUGUGUGGACGGGAUAAGUGCUGAAAGCAUCUAAGCAUGAAGCCCCCCUCAAGAUGAGAUUUCCCAACUUCGGUUAUAAGAUCCCUCAAAGAUGAUGAGGUUAAUAGGUUCGAGGUGGAAGCAUGGUGACAUGUGGAGCUGACGAAUACUAAUCGAUCGAAGACUUAAUCAA